rfam:Colletotrichum gloeosporioides Nara gc5 unplaced genomic scaffold scaffold598, whole genome shotgun sequence.
ACAUACGACCAUACCCAUUGGAAAACUCGGGAUCCCGUCCGCUCUCCCAUAGACAAGCCAAUGAGGGCUGGAGAAGUAGUCGGAUCGGUGACGACCGGUGACGACCGGCGAAUGCCCGGGUUAUAUGUU